AAGUCGUAACAAGGUUUCCGUAGGUGAACCUGCGGAAGGAUCAUUACCGAAACGAAGACUUGGUUGGCAUGCAUCCGCUGUGUGCGUGCCGUGGUAAAACACACACGCAGCACUCGCCAGGAACAUCAUACAUACCAUUGUCAGAUCGUAUUAUUACUUAUGUAAUGACACAACAACUUUUAACAAUGGAUCUCUUGGCUCUU
rnacentral:misc_RNA from 1 species